rnacentral:rRNA from 1 species
AGUGAACGCUGGCGGUAGGCCUAACACAUGCAAGUCGAACGGCAGCACAGUAAGAGCUUGCUCUUACGGGUGGCGAGUGGCGGACGGGUGAGGAAUACAUCGGAAUCUACUUUUUCGUGGGGGAUAACGUAGGGAAACUUACGCUAAUACCGCAUACGACCUACGGGUGAAAGCAGGGGAUCUUCGGACCUUGCGCGAUUGAAUGAGCCGAUGUCGGAUUAGCUAGUUGGCGGGGUAAAGGCCCACCUAGGCGACGAUCCGUAGCUGGUCUGAGAGGAUGAUCAGCCACACUGGAACUGAGACACGGUCCAGACUCCUACGGGAGGCAGCAGUGGGGAAUAUUGGACAAUGGGCGCAAGCCUGAUCCAGCCAUACCGCGUGGGUGAAGAAGGCCUUCGGAUUGUAAAGACCUUUUGUUGGGAAAGAAAAGCAGCAAGUUAAUACCCCGCUGUUCUGACGGUACCCAAAGAAUAAGCACCGGCUAACUUCGUG